rnacentral:sRNA from 1 species
GAACUCAUGCGCAAAUGCAGAGACAGUCUGUCGCAUCCCGGCUCGACAAGGUUUACGGCAUUUGUCAUGACGGGA